rnacentral:snRNA from 1 species
AGCUUUGCACAGUGGCAGUAUUGUAGCCUAUGAGGUUUAUCCGAGGCGCAAUUAUUGCUAAUUGAAAACAAUGGAUUGAACAAUGGAUUGAACAAGAGCACAGACAGGAAAGUGGAGUUUAUUGUGGAAUUCCACCACAUUGGA